AUUGAACGCUGGCGGCAUGCCUUACGCAUGCAAGUCGAACGGUAACAGGUCUUCGGAUGCUGACGAGUGGCGAACGGGUGAGUAAUACAUCGGAACGUGCCUAGUAGUGGGGGAUAACUACUCGAAAGAGUGGCUAAUACCGCAUGAGAUCUACGGAUGAAAGCAGGGGAUCGCAAGACCUUGUGCUACUAGAGCGGCCGAUGGCAGAUUAGGUAGUUGGUGGGAUAAAAGCUUACCAAGCCGACGAUCUGUAGCUGGUCUGAGAGGACGAUCAGCCACACUGGGACUGGGACACGGCCCAGACUCCUACAGGAGGCAGCAGUGGGGAAUAUUGGACAAUGGGCGCAAGCCUGAUCCAGCCAUGCCGCGUGUGUGAAGAAGGCCUUCGGGUUGUAAAGCACUUUUGUCCGGAAAGAAAUCCAAUCGAUUAAUACUCGGUUGGGAUGACGGUACCGGAAGAAUAAGCACCGGCUAACUUCGUGCCAGCCGCCGCCGUAAUAC
rnacentral:rRNA from 1 species